rnacentral:rRNA from 1 species
UAAACUGAAGAGUUUGAUCAUGGCUCAGAUUGAACGCUGGCGGCAUGCCUAACACAUGCAAGUCGAACGGAAACGAUGCUAGCUUGCUAGCAGGCGUC